UACAGAGACGUCGAGCGUUGUUCGGAUUCAUUGGGCGUAAAGGGUGCGUAGGCGGUGAGGUAAGUCGGAUGUGAAAUCCCAGGGCCUAACCCUGGAAGGGCAUCCGAAACUCCCUCGCUCGAGGACUGGAAGGGAGACUGGAAUUCUCGGUGUAGCGGUGAAAUGCGUAGAUAUCGAGAGGAACACCGGUGGCGAAGGCGGGUCUCUGGACAGUUCCUGACGCUGAGGCACGAAAGCCAGGGGAG
rnacentral:rRNA from 1 species